UCACUGGUCGAGUCGGCCUGCGCGGAAGAUGUAACGGGGCUAAACCAUGCACCGAAGCUGCGGCAGCGACACUAUGUGUUGUUGGGUAGGGGAGCGUUCUGUAAGCCUGUGAAGGUGUGCUGUGAGGCAUGCUGGAGGUAUCAGAAGUGCGAAUGCUGACAUAAGUAACGAUAAAGCGGGUGAAAAGCCCGCUCGCCGGAAGACCAAGGGUUCCUGUCCAACGUUAAUCGGGGCAGGGUGAGUCGACCCCUAAGGCGAGGCCGAAAGGCGUAGUCGAUGGGAAACAGGUUAAUAUUCCUGUACUUGGUGUUACUGCGAAGGGGGGACGGAGAAGGCUAUGUUGGCCGGGCGACGGUUGUCCCGGUUUAAGCGUGUAGGCUGGUUUUCCAGGCAAAUCCGGAAAAUCAAGGCUGAGGCGUGAUGACGAGGCACUACGGUGCUGAAGCAACAAAUGCCCUGCUUCCAGGAAAAGCCUCUAAGCAUCAGGUAACAUCAAAUCGUACCCCAAACCGACACAGGUGGUCAGGUAGAGAAUACCAAGGCGCUUGAGAGAACUCGGGUGAAGGAACUAGGCAAAAUGGUGCCGUAACUUCGGGAGAA
rnacentral:rRNA from 1 species